AUGGCUAUACGCAUACUUGCAAGUGACGAGGCCUUACUGACAAGAGAUCCUCCCGUGCGCUUUAUGGAUCUACAAUUUUAUACGGCCGUGAUUGAAGCUGCCCUCGCUUCCGCACGAGAUUUAGAUUCGCGGGUACAGCCAGAUAUUCAGGCGCUAGCAUCAUUGCUUCGUAGCUCGACUGAGAUAGACCACACCAUCUCAUCAUGCAAUUGGAUAUUGCUUCCUCAUGCAUUCCUCGGCCACUUCAUCUUGUUCGCAAUCGACAAACAUGCCCGUCAAGUAUCUAUUUUGGACCCACUUAUUCCGUCCUUAUCUUCAGAGAGAUAUGCAUUAAAAUUUCAGAGGGUUGCAUUCUACCUGAAUGAUGCACUCGAAUUAGCACAACCGGGUUGGAAGUCUGAUACAUUUUUCUGGCCACGUAAAUCACCAAUUGAUGUUCCGACGAGCGUAGACCGGGAUGAAUCUGGUUAUUUUGUUUUCAAUUUUAUGCUCUCAUGGCAUGGUAACAAAUUUGUUCGUCCAAUUUGCACGGAUGGUUAUCAGUUAAGAAAGAAUUUGUUGAUACACUUGCUCGAGUAUCAUGCGAAUGAAGCUGAAGACAAUACCCCGUAUGAUGUACGAGAAAUUCUCAAGUGCCUGAAGUAG
rnacentral:rRNA from 1 species